CUCCUGUUCAUUUCCCCACAGAAACAGGCUUACAACAUCUGCAAUGAAUACCAUAUGUUCACAGCUGUGAUCAGAGAAUGAGGCAUCUCAGAGAGUUCUUCACUGAUUCCUGGAGAAGGUUGCCUGUUCCCCAAUACAAUACUUAUGCCUAAUGCAUUACAUACAAGGCACCAGAAGAGCUGAAGCGCAUCAGCAACCAAAAAAGAAAAGCUGCAAAAUAACAAAUUAUUCAGUUUAGAUUGGGCGUCUGCACUUAACAGCUUGUCAUUUACCUCUGCUUGGGCCACAUCAAAGCAACCUCUCAUAAUGCUCUACAGUGUGUCAACAGAAGGCUCACACAGUAAUGCCAAUGUAUUGGCCAGAAAAGGGGUGCACAAUCAGAGCUAUUACUUCCGGAACUUAAACAGUUUAAUUUAUUAAGUACACCAUAGUCAAGGAGUCAUUGUUUUCCAUCAACAGAAACUGCAAAAACACCUGGCUGACAUCCCAGGCACAGACUAUCCUUGUUGGAUACUUGAACAAGCAAACAAGCCACUGCACAACUGCUUCUCUAUCCUAUUGAUCACAGAUGCGUUCAAGACAGUCCAUGUAAGAAAUCUCAAAGACUUGUUGAAUUUUAUACUCACAAUGCUUGGAGAGAAGUCCUCUGUAAGGAAUGUUAUCUUUACCAUGGAUAACAUCCCAGGAUGUAGAAGAGGCACAGGAGCUGUGAAGACAUCUACCAAACAGUUCCUGACAUGGGACUGGUAAAACCAGAAGACAGGUCAUGGAGAAGCAUUACUAGCAGGGAUUAUUUGAAGCCAAUUGCAAGAUGAAGGAGAAAGAAGAGCUAACAAAUGAGAAAGGAUGGAAACAAGCUCACAGGAGAGGAGACAACAGUGCUGUGGUUUUUUUUUGUUUGUUUGUUUUUCCCUGAAGCAUAUGAUUCACAAUGUGUCUGAGAUUUCAAGACUUCUUUCUAACAAAGAUGAACAAGGACUCUCUAGAACAUCUCUACAACCGUCAGAUUAAGUUCUGCUUCUGGAAUAUCCUGUCCUGUUGAAUUUACUGUAGUGGAGAAACAAUUAGCUUAAAAUGUUGAAUUCAUUACAAGGAAAAUGAAAAUCUAACCUUCUUGUAAGAUUUCUCACCUGUAAUCUCUGGAGUCUUCAUAAUAUCUCCAGGUAGCUAAACUAGGUGCUUCAGCUUUCUGUUGUACUGUAAAUUGUUUUCUUUGUCUUCUCAUAGUACAACUGUUUGAAAGAGAUGAGACUGAGUGCCUGAGACACAUGAACACGAAGCAGCACGUGCCUCCCUCAUUGACAUUUCAGUAUCACUGGAAGCAAACUGCAGCUUUUCAAGAUAUUGUUGGAGACACUACUCUAAUGUUUUUAGUGUCUUAGCAGCUUUGUGGACAGUCCCAGUAACAUUUGCAUUUUACGACUGUGGAUUCUGUUCACAUAUAAGCAGGAAAACAGUUACCAAUGAAAGAAUAUUCAGGAAGUCUUUAAAAAUUUAACUCCAGUACAGUUUAAGUCCUCACAGACUUCGACAAAAGUUGAAGUUUCCCAUCUGAAUAUGCUUUGCUUUUUAUGCAAAUUAACAUUUUUUGAAAUAUUCAUAGCAAUUCUAGCAAAAGUAAUUUUAACUACAGAUAUACCUCCAUAGUUCUGUGAAAAUGACAGUCUACUUAGAAGUGGUUUUGGUAGAUUAAACCACUAAUUCUUCCAAUACAUUGAAACACAUCUCUUAAAUGGGAGGGGGGGUGGGCAACACCAAAAACAACAACAACAAAAAACACAAUGGAGCAAAAGAAGAAAAGAAGAUGAUGUUCUUCUAUCCUUUUUGAAAGCCUAGAAAAAGGCUCUUCUUGACAUUUCUUGUCAUAGGUGAGAUGGGGAUUUAUCCUAGAAAAUAUAUUUAGCGGUUGCAUGCCUUAAGAAAACACUAUUUAGAAUUACAAUCUAUAAUUGCUUAAUCUGAUAUUUGCAUAUAAAAGUCAGCCAAGCAUUCAAGCUAACCACAAGAAUAAUAGUUAAACACAUGCAAAUAUUUCUUUUCAACAUCACAAAAAUUUCAGAACCCCCUAAAAAUUCCAGAGUCAGAAGAACAUAUUCUAGAGUUUGCAAUUAGAACUCAUGGUUGGUAUGAUAAUUACCUCUCAUUUGGGCUUUUUCUGCUUCUCACUUACAAGGCAGAGCUAAAAUUUCCCGUGUUUAAUUAACCUGAAAAAAAGAAUAACACCAAAGUAUUAAAACAAUAGCAUCUAGUCAUGCAAGAAUCCGGAGUUCUUUUGACAGUUCCAAGCAAAGUUACUAUUUUCCUGCACUAAUCUCUUGCUUUCUGUCAUUAGGUAGACAAAUUUGUGUCAUUAGAUUAAGUAUUACCCACUACUACAGCUAGUGAAUAUUUUUGUUAAAAAGCUGGUAUUUCCUGAGGUAUUGAUGCCUGUCUGCUCAAAUCUGAAAUUACAAGUAAAUUGGUAAUCAGAUAUAGAGCACACCCACAAACAGACAAGGACUACAUUAAACAGCAUAAGAAUUAAUAGGACUGAGGUUUAGAAUAGUCCAGAGGAAAUAAUUGCCAAGGAUAAACCCAAAUCAGCCCUAGUCCCUCGAGAUCUUCUAGACUGCCCUUUCUGGAUUAAUAGAUUGAUCAAUUAAUGUAGUAAAGUCCACUAUAACAGCUGCAGCUUUUGUUUGGUUAGUUGAUUGCUUUUUGUAUAUAUUGUAAACAAAAUUAAAUGUUUUA
ensembl:lncRNA